GCCGUCGCGGGGCUGACGUCAUCGCCGUGCGCUGCCACGUCUGCUCAGCUCCGCGGUAAUGGAGGCUGCGGGAGAGUGCUGACGGCACUGGGCUCUGUAGCUUUAGCUCUGGCUCUGGCUCUGCCGCUGACGCAGGGUCUGGGUCUAAGUCUGGGUCUGGCAGCUCGAAGCGUGGACAUCUUUUUUUCGCGUCUGUGGGCUGGACGGCCUGCGGACAAGCACUCGGUUUGGAGCGCCUCGACGCGGGGAGGGAGUUCUCUUGCUUGGGGUCUCUCGCGUCAAGCUGCUGCCUGCUCCCAGGGAUCCCGCCCCACCGGCCGGGCCUCCUCCAUGCAGUUGAAAUAGGUUGACAACCAUUGACCUGGGUUGCAGCUACAGGUGGCACUGGAAGCAGACUGGUUCCCGGACAUGCCCGGUGGAAGGAGGGGCCCUAGUCGGCAGCAGCUAAGCCGUUCAGCUUUACCUUCCUUACAGACUUUGGUUGGUGGGGGCUGCGGCAAUGGAACAGGCCUGAGAAACAGGAAUGGUAGUGCUAUUGGCCUUCCGGUCCCACCUAUCACAGCCUUAAUCACCCCAGGUCCAGUUCGUCAUUGCCAAAUUCCUGAUUUGCCUGUGGAUGGGAGCCUCCUCUUUGAAUUUCUCUUUUUCAUCUACCUGCUGGUUGCCCUCUUCAUUCAGUACAUCAACAUCUAUAAAACAGUGUGGUGGUAUCCUUACAAUCAUCCUGCUUCUUGUACUUCAUUGAAUUUUCAUCUCAUUGAUUACCACUUGGCAGCAUUCAUCACAGUGAUGCUUGCAAGGAGGCUGGUAUGGGCCCUCAUCUCAGAGGCCACUAAGGCGGGUGCAGCGUCUAUGAUUCACUACAUGGUUCUGAUAUCCGCUCGCUUGGUGCUGCUCACUUUGUGUGGAUGGGUGCUUUGUUGGACGCUCGUCAAUCUCUUCCGAAGCCAUUCAGUCCUCAAUCUCCUUUUCCUUGGCUACCCGUUUGGUGUUUAUGUUCCUCUCUGCUGUUUCCACCAAGAUAGUAGAGCUCAUCUUCUUCUCACAGACUAUAACUACGUGGUUCAGCACCAGGCAGUGGAGGAAAGUGCCUCAACUGUGGGUGGCUUGGCCAAAUCCAAAGACUUCCUCUCCUUAUUGCUGGAGUCUCUCAAAGAACAAUUUAAUAAUGCCACACCCAUCCCCACCCACAGCUGCCCUUUAUCUCCAGACCUCAUUCGCAAUGAAGUAGAAUGUCUGAAAGCAGAUUUCAACCACAGAAUCAAGGAAGUUCUCUUCAACUCCCUCUUCAGUGCCUACUAUGUUGCAUUUCUCCCCCUGUGUUUUGUGAAGAGUACCCAGUACUAUGACAUGCGCUGGUCGUGCGAGCACCUCAUUAUGGUAUGGAUCAAUGCUUUUGUCAUGCUUACCACACAGCUGCUGCCAUCCAAAUACUGCGAUUUGCUACAUAAAUCAGCUGCUCAUCUGGGCAAGUGGCAGAAGCUUGAACAUGGGUCCUACAGCAAUGCUCCACAGCACAUUUGGUCAGAAAACACAAUAUGGCCUCAAGGGGUGCUGGUGCGACAUAGCAGAUGCUUAUAUAGAGCCAUGGGGCCCUACAACGUGGCAGUGCCUUCCGAUGUAUCCCAUGCCCGCUUUUAUGCAAGUACCGCUUAUUUCUUUUCAAACAUAAGCUUAGGGGUAAGUUUAGGAGGCCUGUGUGUGUGUAGCACAUACUAGGGAAUUAGUACAUGGUAAUUAUUGCUUCUAUAAUAAUGGCCCUUGUCCUUUGGAACUGUCUUCUGAAAGGCAGCUUCAAGGUCAAAUAUCAUUAUCCCAACUUCAACUUGUUUCCCUAGUUACAUCAGAAUUUGUUGAGUCUAGUAGUAUUACUUGAUAUGAGUAGACAGUUACUUAAGACUUGCCUUUUUCAUCUUACAAUUUUUAUUUGUAAUAGUUUGAUUUAAUGGUAUCCUUAUUAUAUUGUAUCUGUGUAUCCUUAAGCAAUAUUUAAUAUAGUAAUGUAAUGGGAUGGGUUUUGUUUUUCUGUUUUUGUUUUUUGUUUUUGUAUCUGUGAUAUGUAUCAUCUCCUUAAAAUACCUUGACUUCCCUUUGGAAAGUCAGACAAAUGCCAUGAUCUGAAGCCUUUUUUCUAUAUUAAAAGGGAAAAAGGCUUAAAAGUUAAAAAGGAAAAAGCAAUAGACAUCCACUAAACACAGCUUCUCUUCCAUUUGAAUUUAUGCCUUGGGUUAUGUUCUUGAUCUUUCAGUUUUCCAGAAAUUCUGGCUCUAGGGCACAGAAGUGUUUACUUAUCUGAGAAUGGCCAGAUGACCAUUGAGAAUGGGGAAAGAAGGUGCAUGCAGGGACCGUUCUUAAUAAAAAUGCCCAUAGUGCAGUGCAUUACCUUUAAAUGGAGAUCAUAUUCUAAAAAAUAAUUGGAGACCAUUGUUUUGAGAUACCUGAUUCUUUUUUCCCUUCCUACUAUGCUCCUUGUGAGGGUACAUGACCUUUCUAGUUCUGCAGGUGUUUGCUACUAAAGGUCUUGCAAUUAAAUAUGUGGACUUGAAUCAGGGCAGGAUGUUUGUAAAUACCAGGAAGGGUGGGGCAGGGUGGAGGUUGGGAGGAGCAUGCGGAAGGCGAAAGACCCUUGAGUGAGGAAACUAUAAGCAUCUCUUUCUGGCCUCCUGUGGGAUUGCCUUAUGAUGGAGGAGUGGACUUAAGUCACACUGCAUAAGCAUUCGGUUUCUGUGCAGAGUAUUUAAUUCAGCCAGCUGAAUCCCAGAGGCCAUUAAUUCUGUUGGCCCUCACUGUCCCCUGGAAACCUACAAUAACCAGAUGUUGUAUUAGAAUUUUCUGAUUGAAAAAUAAGUAUUUUCCUUGCUAGCACUGGACAGCUGGAGAAUCGGAUGGAAUCCAAAGGAGUUUUAGGAAUGUUAAUUUAUUACUGAUUGUGCAUGACCAAACAGGUAAAUCAGUGCUUCUCAAAGUGGUCCGUGGGCCACUUGCAUAUGUCACCUGGCUCACCCUUUAAAACCAGUGACGGAGGCUGCAGCCUCAGCCUUCUGAGUCAGAAUCUGAAGGAUCCCAGGAAUUUGCAGCGUUUACAUGUUUGAAAAUGAUUCUCAGGCACACUGACAUUUGAGAAAACUCAUUUAAAAUGUGCCUGUGACCUAUAGCUGUUAGAAUUUAAAGCCUGUACUCACCUUUUUUACUCAUUCAGUUUAUAGCUUACUAGCACAUUUAAUUAUAAUUGUUAUAAUGGCCAUACAAUCUGAAAUUGACUGAGUCCAUUAAGAAUAUUAAUUCUGAGCCAAUUUUUAUACAGGAUACUUCUGGAUAUCAUGUAAAAAACCCAGGUUAAAUGUUUUCUUUCUUCCAAAGGACCCUGAGAAGCUGGCUAUCUUUUAGAGCUAUCAUGAUCAUUUGGCUUGAUUCUCAGAUUUGAGAUCUAAAUUAGCUCUUUUAGAUGUGAUAUACUACCAUAUAGCAGUUUGCUACCUGUAACUUCUGUGUUUCUAUUCAUUAAUGCAUUUUUAUAAGUAAACCAGGAUUUAGUCUCUUAGAGUGAAGAAUUUGGUUGAAGUGAAAACAUUGAGCCCUGUUUUUAGCCAAAUUCUAUUUAUGACUAAUUUUUCCUUUCUUCCUCAUUGUCCUGUGUUUCUGCAUUCUUCUUGAUAUCCAGAAAAACAAAACAAAACAAAACACUAGAAAUAAGUGGUGUAGAGGAUUUGAGUCAGUGACCAUGUUCCUAUUUCAUCGUCCAUUAAGGCUGUUGAAUCUGCUUAUCCUCAUUGAGGGCAGUGUCGUCUUCUACCAGCUGUAUUCCUUACUGCGGUCGGAGAAGUGGAACCACACGCUUUCCAUGGCUCUCAUCCUCUUCUGCAACUACUAUGUUUUAUUUAAGCUUCUCCGGGACAGAAUCGUAUUAGGCAGGGCAUACUCCUAUCCACUCAACAGUUAUGAACUGAAGGCAAACUAAGCUGCCUCUCAACAAUGAGGGAGAACUCAGAUAAAAAUAUUUUUCAUACGUUCUAUUUUUUUUCUUGCGAUUUUUAUAAAUAUUUAAGAUAUUUUAUAUUUUGUAUACUAUUAUGUUUCGAAAGUGGGAAGGGUAAGGGAUAUUAAAUGUAUCCAUAAACAAGGUGAUGUGAUCUUUCAUGUGUUAGUACAUUUGAAUAAUAUACAUCUGAGAGGUGUGCCUCUCCAGUAAAGAAAUUGAUUUGUUUGUA